CCGAAGGCUGGCUCCAGGACAGGGUGAGAUGGGGGUGGGAGAUUGGGCCACAGGGAAAAGAAACGAUCAGGGGAAGCCGGGUGCCCCUUCAGCACUGCUGCCCACCUGGUGUGGUGGCUUAGCGCUCCCUCUCCCCGCAGACACGCGCUCCUUCUGGGGCCCCUUCCUCACACGCUGGUACCCGUCUUCCUGAGCUCAGCUUCUGGGGAGGGCAGCUGGCAGGCCGGGGACAGCCCUCCCUUGGGAAGCAGAACUUGCAGCUCAGGUGAGUCCCACCACAGUCUCCUGCCAGAACGGAUGCACUGCCUGGGCCUGGAGGAGCAGAGGCAGCAGCUCCCGGCGAGGGAGGAGCAAACGCCAAGGCCCGGUGGGGCCAGAGGACCGGUCGGCUGACGGGAUGGUGGUCCUUGCUCAGAGGGAGAAAGAGACGGGCAGGAAA
rnacentral:lncRNA from 1 species